rnacentral:misc_RNA from 1 species
GAAAUGCGAUACGUAAUGUGAAUUGCAGAAUUCCGUGAAUCAUCGAAUCUUUGAACGCACCUUGCGCCCCUUGGUAUUCUGAGGGGCAUGCCUGUUUGAGUGUCAUUAAAUUCUCAACUUGACCUCUGCUCUUGGAGUUCAAGCUUGGAUCUGGAGGUUGCUGGCCUUGAGAAAUAAAGGUCAGCUCCUCUGAAAGGCAUUAGCGAUACAGCCCCUCAAAAGGGUUCCCGGCAUUGAUAAUUGUCUAUGUCUAUAGAACCCCUCUAUGAGAGUUUGUUGUUCGCUUACAAAGGUCCUCGAGGGGACAACGUAUCUUUGAUAAUUACCUCAAAUCAGGUAGGACUACCCGCUGAACUUAA